CCUCUCCCUCCUUUCUUUUUCUUUUUCUUUUCUUUUUUUUUUUUUAAUUUGAAAAAGCAUAGACAAAACAGGUCAGGAUUUAUUCUUGAUUGGAAGAUCCUCGGUUGUGUUUAUGAAAGAUGUACAAGGAUAGAGAUGAAGUUUGGUUCUAGGUGUUCAGGGAAAGCUGCAGGUGUCAUUACAACCCCCCACAAUACAUUGUUCUUAAGACAGAUUUAGGAGCUAUCAGGGCUAGUUUGAGGAGGGUUUAGUCUUUAGAACAAUCUUGUAGCCUUGACAGAAAUCCAAAAUCUCCCCCAAACUCUUACCCUUUAACCUUACAUUAGGAGAAACUGAUCUAUUAAAAUUACAUGUAUGAGUACGAAAAGCGAAGUUAAGUGAGAACAUUGGAAGAACCUGGAAAAAAGCUCCCACCCUAACUAAGAAGCAUGAUCUCAGUAGACCAAUAACUCGCCUUUUUAUACACCUGUAAAUAAAUGGAAUGUUUUUAAGAAUAUAAUUAUGUCAGAUUUAGCAUUUUCUUUUAUAUAUUAAAUAUAUAUCUUUCAUUUCUGCUUUUGAAAGUGAUUAUUUUUUUAGAUAUAACAAGUUUGGCAGUUGAAAGGCAAGACAUGUGAACCUGAAAUAAACCAGUUAUACUAAUUAAAGCAG
rnacentral:lncRNA from 1 species